CGCCGCGUGGAGGAUGAAGCCCCUUGGGGUGUAAACUCCUUUCGAUCGGGACGAUUAUGACGGUACCGGAUGAAGAACGCACCGGCUAACUACUCGUGC
rnacentral:rRNA from 1 species